rnacentral:pre_miRNA from 1 species
UAUGUACUCCCUCCGUUCAGAAUUACUUGUCUUGGAAAUGGAUGUAUCUAGAACUAAAAUACAUCUAGAUACAUCCAUUUCUAUGAUAAGUAAUUCCGAACGGAGGGAGUACAUC